rnacentral:lncRNA from 1 species
CUUUUUUGUUCGCGCAACCUUGUCAAUAUAUUGUAACGGUUUUGUUAUUUAAAUUUAUAGGUAGAUUGAUUUACAACCAUCACAGUUCUUUUAUGAACGGUGGGAGGGCUAAACAGUUUUCAAGCAUUUACUGGACUUAUAUUCGUGAAAUCACAUCAAUAUAAUGAACUGUGUCGGGAAUGUCAGGAUCAUAUUAUUACUCCAACUGAACGUUUAUUUUAUGUGUAAUGUAUAAAGAGUUCUUACCUUUACGAUUUAUUGUUUGCAUUCCGUGGUAGCAUCUUAAAUUAUUCAUGUCUAUAAUUUGGAGUCCCGUUAUUUUUAUGUACUUUGAUUUUCAUGUACGACACUCUGGUAUCAGAUAUUGUCGUCGCCAUUAUUGUUGACAAAUUACGUCACACAUUGAACCUUGGGAAAGUGCAGGUGGCAUGACGUCACACAAGUGAACGUCAAUUCUACUAUGUUCUUAUACAAAAUGUGUGUCACAGUGUGUCUUAGUGUGUCGUCCUUGUAUAUAAAUUUGCGAUAUCUAAGCACUCGGGUUCAGUCUUGUUUCGUCUGGGCGCCAUUCCUACGACUUUCAAAUAACUAAAGCUGCUUACAUAUUUUUGUCUUAAGGUUAGCAUAUAGGAUUAUAAAUAUAUAAAAAAGGGUUAAAAUAAUAUUUCUGGAUAUUAUCUACAAUUUGUCGGUGACAAUAACUUUCAUUAAUUUCAUUUAAGAGAAUUAUACUGAUUCAAUACAUAUCAACACUGCGACACGGUGCCGACACACAUAAGUAUGUCGUGUUUCUAACAACGUAUAUAAAGCAGAUUUUUAUACAUUCUUUAUAUAAAUAAAGAUACGAAAUUCACUUUUGAAAGUUAUAUAAUACAAGGCGUAUUAAAACUAAUAGAAGAAUAGAAUAUUGGAAUUAUUACUCUGAAUAGGUUUUUCGUAGUAUUUAGGCCUUAUAGGACGACACACUUUUAAAGCAGAGAAAUAGUAAUAACUCGACACACAUACUUAUAUCAUAUAAGAGAAUAUUGUUUUAGUAAGGGAAUACAUUGUAUAUUAUUAUAUUAUUUGUUUAUUGUCAUAGUAUUGUUCAUAAGAGAUAUAUACUGAUACCAGAGCCAUUCAUUUGCUACCAUAGAUGUAAAUAAGAUACCAUAAAUCUAUUUAGGAC